AAUAGAUACCCGGGUAGUCCACGCCGUAAACGAUGUCGACUUGGAGGUUGUUCCCUUGAGGAGUGGCUUCCGGAGCUAACGCGUUAAGUCGACCGCCUGGGGAGUACGGCCGCAAGGUUAAAACUCAAAUGAAUUGACGGGGGGCCCGCACAAGCGGUGGAGCAUGUGGUUUAAUUCGAUGCAACGCGAAGAACCUUACCUACUCUUGACAUCCAGAGAACUUAGCAGAGAUGCUUUGGUGCCUUCGGGAACUCUGAGACAGGUGCUGCAUGGCUGUCGUCAGCUCGUGUUGUGAAAUGUUGGGUUAAGUCCCGCAACGAGCGCAACCCUUAUCCUUUGUUGCCAGCGGUUUCGGCCGGGAACUCAAAGGAGACUGCCAGUGAUAAACUGGAGGAAGGUGGGGAUGACGUCAAGUCAUCAUGGCCCUUACGAGUAGGGCUACACACGUGCUACAAUGGCGUAUACAAAGAGAAGCGACCUCGCGAGAGCAAGCGGACCUCAUAAAGUACGUCGUAGUCCGGAUUGGAGU
rnacentral:rRNA from 1 species